rnacentral:rRNA from 1 species
GGUUAAGCGACUAAGCGUACACGGUGGAUGCCCUGGCAGUCAGAGGCGAUGAAGGACGUGCUAAUCUGCGAAAAGCGUCGGUAAGGUGAUAUGAACCGUUACAGCCGGCGAUGUCCGAAUGGGGAAACCCAGUGCAAUUCGUUGCACUAUCGUUAACUGAAUACAUAGGUUAACGAGGCGAACCGGGGGAACUGAAACAUCUAAGUACCCCGAGGAAAAGAAAUCAACCGAGAUUCCCCCAGUAGCGGCGAGCGAACGGGGAGCAGCCCAGAGUCUGAAUCAGCUUGUGUGUUAGUGGAACGGUCUGGAAAGUCCGACGGUACAGGGUGAUAGUCCCGUACACCAAAAUGCACAGGUUGUGAACUCGAAGAGUAGGGCGGGACACGUGGUAUCCUGUCUGAAUAUGGGGGGACCAUCCUCCAAGGCUAAAUACUCCUGACUGACCGAUAGUGAACCAGUACCGUGAGGGAAAGGCGAAAAGAACCCCGGCGAGGGGAGUGAAAAAGAACCUGAAACCGUGUACGUACAAGCAGUGGGAGCACCUUCGGGUGUGACUGCGUACCUUUUGUAUAAUGGGUCAGCGACUUAUAUUCUGUAGCAAGGUUAACCGUAUAGGGGAGCCGCAGGGAAACCGAGUCUUAACUGGGCGUUAAGUUGCAGGGUAUAGACCCGAAACCCGGUGAUCUAGCCAUGGGCAGGUUGAAGGUUGGGUAACACUAACUGGAGGACCGAACCGACUAAUGUUGAAAAAUUAGCGGAUGACUUGUGGCUGGGGGUGAAAGGCCAAUCAAACCGGGAGAUAGCUGGUUCUCCCCGAAAGCUAUUUAGGUAGCGCCUCGUGAAUUCAUCUUCGGGGGUAGAGCACUGUUUCGGCUAGGGGGUCAUCCCGACUUACCAACCCGAUGCAAACUACGAAUACCGAAGAAUGUUAUCACGGGAGACACACGGCGGGUGCUAACGUCCGUCGUGAAGAGGGAAACAACCCAGACCGCCAGCUAAGGUCCCAAAGUCAUGGUUAAGUGGGAAACGAUGUGGGAAGGCACAGACAGCCAGGAUGUUGGCUUAGAAGCAGCCAUCAUUUAAAGAAAGCGUAAUAGCUCACUGGUCGAGUCGGCCUGCGCGGAAGAUGUAACGGGGCUAAACCAUGCACCGAAGCUGCGGCAGCGACACUAUGUGUUGUUGGGUAGGGGAGCGUUCUGUAAGCCUGCGAAGGUGGCCUGUGAGGGUUGCUGGAGGUAUCAGAAGUGCGAAUGCUGACAUAAGUAACGAUAAAGCGGGUGAAAAGCCCGCUCGCCGGAAGACCAAGGGUUCCUGUCCAACGUUAAUCGGGGCAGGGUGAGUCGACCCCUAAGGCGAGGCCGAAAGGCGUAGUCGAUGGGAAACAGGUUAAUAUUCCUGUACUUGGUGUUACUGCGAAGGGGGGACGGAGAAGGCUAUGUUAGCCGGGCGACGGUUGUCCCGGUUUAAGCAUGUAGGCUG